AGCAUGGCCAAAAAACAGUGCAACAUUAGCUCAGCAUAUGGUAUUGUUGGUUCUCAAGCUGUUAUGCCUGCUAAACCUGAUAAUUUUGUUGAAACAAAU